UGGGGAAUAUUGCGCAAUGGGGGAAACCCUGACGCAGCAACGCCGCGUGAAGGAUGAAGGUUUUCGGAUUGUAAACUUCUUUGAUGAGGGACGAAGAAAAUGACGGUACCUCAAAAACAAGCCACGGCUAACUACGUGCCAGCAGCCGCGGUAAUACGUAGGUGGCGAGCGUUGUCCGGAAUUACUGGGUGUAAAGGGCGUGUAGGCGGGGAGACAAGUCAGAUGUGAAAUACCGAAGCUUAACUUCGGGGCUGCAUCUGAAACUGUUUUUCUUGAGUGUCGGAGAGGAAAGCGGAAUUCCUAGUGUAGCGGUGAAAUGCGUAGAUAUUAGGAGGAACACCAGUGGCGAAGGCGGCUUUCUGGACAGUAACUGACGCUGAGGCGCGAAAGCGUGGGGAGCGAACAGG
rnacentral:rRNA from 2 species